rnacentral:rRNA from 1 species
AUUGAACGCUGGCGGCAUGCCUUACACAUGCAAGUCGAACGGUAACAGGUCUUCGGAUGCUGACGAGUGGCGAACGGGUGAGUAAUACAUCGGAACGUGCCUAGUAGUGGGGGAUAACUACUCGAAAGAGUGGCUAAUACCGCAUGAGAUCUACGGAUGAAAGCAGGGGAUCGCAAGACCUUGUGCUACUAGAGCGGCCGAUGGCAGAUUAGGUAGUUGGUGGGAUAAAAGCUUACCAAGCCGACGAUAUGUAGCUGGUCUGAGAGGACGAUCAGCCACGCUGGGACUGAGAAACGGCCCAGACUCCUACGGGAGGCAGCAGUGGGGAAUUUUGGACAAUGGGCGCAAGCCUGAUCCAGCAAUGCCGCGUGCAGGAUGAAGGCCUUCGGGUUGUAAACUGCUUUUGUACGGAACGAAAAGCCCCGGGUUAAUACCCUGGGGUCAUGACGGUACCGUAAGAAUAAGCACCGGCUAACUACGUGCCAGCCGCCGCGGUAA